rnacentral:misc_RNA from 1 species
GGCCAAAGUCCUGCUGGCUCUGAUUGAAAAAUAAAGAAGAGGCCUAGCGAAUGUCGCUGUCAGCUGUCUUUCUCCUGUAGAGGCGCUAGCAUUGGAGCUUAGUGAGCUUGGAGCCCGAGGUGUGCCUUUAAUAACUAUGCUUGAUAACCUGCUACGUCUAUACAUAUUUUAGAGAGACUAUUAUUAUGAUUGUUAUGGCGAAUUUAUAAAAAUUUUGAGAAUUAGCUUCUCUAGAGAAUUAGUUUCUCUUUCUUUUGAGAAUUUAUUUUUCUUGAUUCUUGAGCUCUUGUUCAGCAUCACUAGUCUUAUUAGUAACUAAUUA